rnacentral:rRNA from 1 species
GACGAACGCUGGCGGCGUGCCUAAUACAUGCAAGUAGAACGCUGAAGGAGGAGCUUGCUUCUCCGGAUGAGUUGCGAACGGGUGAGUAACGCGUAGGUAACCUGCCUGGUAGCGGGGGAUAACUAUUGGAAACGAUAGCUAAUACCGCAUAACAGUAGAUGUUGCAUGACAUUUGCUUAAAAGGUGCAAUUGCAUCACUACCAGAUGGACCUGCGUUGUAUUAGCUAGUUGGUGAGGUAACGGCUCACCAAGGCGACGAUACAUAGCCGACCUGAGAGGGUGAUCGGCCACACUGGGACUGAGACACGGCCCAGACUCCUACGGGAGGCAGCAGUAGGGAAUCUUCGGCAAUGGACGGAAGGCUGACCGAGCAACGCCGCGUGAGUGAAGAAGGGUUUCGGAUCGUAAAGCUCUGUUGUAAGAGAAGAACGAGUGUGAGAGUGGAAAGUUCACACUGUGACGGUAUCUUACCAGAAAGGGACGGCUAACUACGUG